UGAUGGGAAGUAUCGAUUAUAUGC
rnacentral:siRNA from 1 species